AGAGUUUGAUCAUGGCUCAGAGUGAACGCUAGCGGCGUACCUAACACAUGCAAGUCGUGCGAGAAACCAAGGCUUCGGCCUUGGGAGUAAAGCGGCGGACGGGUGAGUAACACGUAGGUAACCUACUUCCGAGCGGGGGAUAACCUGCCGAAAGGUGGGCUAAUACCCCAUAAGCUCACGGAUACUACGGUAUCUGUGAGAAAAGGUGGCCUCUGCAUGCAAGCUGCUGCUCGGAGAUGGGCCUGCGUCCCAUCAGCUAGUUGGUAGGGUAAUGGCCUACCAAGGCAACGACGGGUAGCCGGCCUGAGAGGGUGGUCGGCCACACUGGCACUGAGACACGGGCCAGACUCCUACGGGAGGCAGCAGUGAGGAAUAUUGGGCAAUGGGCGCAAGCCUGACCCAGUGACGCCGCGUGGGUGAUGAAGGCCUUCGGGUCGUAAAGCCCUGUCGGGCGGGAAGAAUACCUGAUAGGUGAAUAGCCUAUUGGGUUGACGGUACCGCCAGAGGAAGCACCGGCUAACUCCGUGCCAGCAGCCGCGGUAAUACGGAGGGUGCAAGCGUUACUCGGAAUUACUGGGCGUAAAGUGCGCGUAGGUGGGAAGGUAAAUUAAGCGUGGAAGCCUAGGGCUCAACCCUAGAAUUGCGCUUAAAAUUGCCUUCCUUGAGUCUUGGAGAGGGAGGCGGAACUCCCGGUGUAGGGGUGAAAUCCGUAGAUAUCGGGAGGAACACCGGUGGCGAAGGCGGCCUCCUGGCCAAGUACUGACACUGAGGCGCGAAAGCGUGGGGAGCAAACAGGAUUAGA
rnacentral:rRNA from 1 species